GUCAUCAGUUCACACACACACACACAUGCAGUACUCUUGGGGAAUGAGAAGAGAGGUGUGUGCUGAGGAGUGUGUACGUGUGUAUGUUCCUGCCAGCUUGCAUAUACCUCAGGUGAAGGCAUUGUAAGUGAAGGAAACUCAUUCUGGAAGGAAAUGGAAAGAUCUUUCUGAUGGAGAAACGUGAGGGUCCGUGCUUUGAGCUUUAGGACAGUGUUUGUGAGCCGAUGUUGAGGAACUGCUGUUGGCAUGGUGAUAAGAAUAAUUUCUAUUUUGGUAACUCUUUUCAUUUUAAAAGGAACCUAAGGGGCUCGUGAAUUAUACACAAAUGGUUCUGCGUUGGAAUGGCAGGAGUUUUUAUAUGACAUUAGCAGCAGCUGCUACGAGAGCAAACGUGAUCAUCCUGUUUAGAGAUGGGCCGUGACAGAAGACGGCACAGCCCACACUCAUGGGGAUAAUCUCACCUGGAAAGUAUUUCCUUACAGGUCACACCUUAGUGAGGCUGACCUUGGGCACUGAGCACAGGAGAAAGUGUGGAGCAUCCAAUGUUUGACUCAGUUGCACCAAACCAGGGAUCAGGGAGCUGACAUGUACUUCUGAAAAAACCUGAGAUGAGACCGGAGGGAGCCCCAGCUACAAAUCAGAGAAGGAAAGAGAACAGCCUGUGUGAUGGAGAACCUUCAGGAGAGAAGACGGAAGAGGGCUUAUCCUAGUCAGUGACGAUGCUACAACAGCUGCUUGGCUGGGAUAGCUCUGUUUGAACGACACGAUGCAGGCCACUUAGGGAAAAGAGAGAGGAUGCCGCAGGCAGAUGACGAGGACCACAAGGCAGAGAGAGGACUUGGGACACACAGCAGGAGGGGAUUAAAGGAUUAUGUGUAUUGGGCCCUGUUACCAGCAUCCAGAAAGGCAUGCACUUUAACUGCCAAGAAACUAAUAAUGAAUUGGAACACCAUCCAGGGGUGAGAGCAAGUUAAUUUUUAAAAUUUUAUUUAUUUAUUUAUUUUUGGUUUUUUGGGACAGGGUUUCUCUGUGGCUUUGGAGGGAGAGCAAGUUAAAACAAU